CCAGGACUUCAUGAUGCCUUCUUGACUGCUAGCUGAACAUGGACUUGUCUUUUUAUUUUUUUUUUUUUUAUAAACCCAGUCACAACACAGAAAGAGGAGGAGGAGGAAGAUAGAGAGGGGAAGAGAGAGAGAGAGAGAGAGGGACAGGGAGAGAGGGAGAGAGGAAGAGAGAGAGAGAGAGAAAGAGAGAGAGAAGUAAAAAUCCUGAAGGAUGGUUCUCAAAAAUUCUAAAGGAACCACAGGGAAUUCCUUUUAAGAGCAACAGAAAGCAAGCUAGCUGAGAUAAAUGGAGUUUACACAAAUAAAGAUGGAGCGAGGAACAAAGGGAGAAGUAGAUGACUAUGACUGGACUAAAGGACUGUCCUUCAAAUUCAUAAACAAGGACGACUGCUGACCGGGGCAGACUAUUAGACUUCUGGAUUUCUUGAAUUCUUUCGUGACAGAAGAAGAAUAAAUCAAAGAAGAACUCACCUUGGUAUGUAUGCACAUCCUGUUGGGGAUGCUCUAGAUUUACCCAUGGAAUCCUCUUCAGAGUGCUUUUUUU
rnacentral:lncRNA from 1 species